UAAAAGACAAAAUUCAACAAAAUUGUGCAAUGCCUACUGUUUGUGCUUUUGCUCCUCCUUACCUCCUCGGCUCUUUUUGCCACUGUUUGCUAAGUAAGCCGAGCUGCUUCUCAAGACAUUGGGAAAAAUUCGACAGA
ensembl:ncRNA C24A3.12 ncRNA